GAUGAACGCUGGCGGCGUGCCUAAUACAUGCAAGUCGAGCGAACGGACGAGAAGCUUGCUUUUCUGAUGUUAGCGGCGGACGGGUGAGUAACACGUGGAUAACCUACCUAUAAGACUGGGAUAACUUCGGGAAACCGGAGCUAAUACUGGAUAAUAUUUUGAACCGCAUGGUUCAAAAGUGAAAGACGGUCUUGCUGUCACUUAUAGAUGGAUCCGCGCUGCAUUAGCUAGUUGGUAAGGUAACGGCUUACCAAGGCAACGAUGCAUAGCCGACCUGAGAGGGUGAUCAGCCACACUGGAACUGAGACACGGUCCAGACUCCUACGGGAGGCAGCAGUAGGGAAUCUUCCGCAAUGGGCGAAAGCCUGACGGAGCAACGCCGCGUGAGUGAUGAAGGUCUUCGGAUCGUAAAACUCUGUUAUUAGGGAAGAACAUAUGUGUAAGUACCUGUGCACAUCUUGACGUUACCUAAUCAGAAAGCCACGGCUAACUACGUG
rnacentral:rRNA from 1 species